UGUACAUAAGAAAGCAAAGUUAUAUUUUGGUAUACCAUCUCUCGACCUUUCCUUUUUCUUUGCAGUGAAAGACCAAGAACUACAGAUCCUAACUGUGUCACGAGCAUUGGUGAAGAAUGCAUAUUCAAAGCUUUAAAAGGUACCUCACAUAGUUGCACUGCAGUUAUGUCUUUCAUGCCUUGCUGAUACCAAAUUACAAAGGCCAGAUAAUGAGGGUUGCUGCUGCUUUCAUCUAUCUUAAUCGUAAUAUUUUUGUUCGGAUAGCUGCAUGAAAUCCUGCACAUUUACAUAAAUGGAGCGAAUAUCAUUAUCAUUCCAAUUGGAUGUGAUAUAUAUUCUUUUGUGAAGCUCUGUAAACUUACCGUUUAUAUUCAAUAUCUAUCACGCCAAAUGCUAAAAGAGAUGCACCUGCAUCCGCGUUCUGAGCCAUUCGCCCAAAAGCACGGCUGCUCAGAAUGAAGUCGGUAUUAUGGCUGGAACCGUGGUCAGUUAUGACGACAUUCACUCCUUUGUCUGAACAGUACUUGCUAUUAGUACACCUGACCUGAAAAAAUACGAGAUAUAUAUUUCACGGUUGAGUUUCCACUUCUCAUAAAAAUCGUGUUCAUUUCUCCUUUAGAUGAUAUCUACCUGGUAGCAAGCACCGCAACCUAAUCCAUCUCGAUAGAGAUCUGAUGCUGCUGAUACGUCUCCAUUGUUAAUUGUGCCCCAAACGUACCAAAGCCACAUCGUCCAGCUGCAUUUUUUUGUGAGAUUUGAUAGAGCUAUAUCAAUAAAAUCAUAGAUUUGCAGCAGAUUCACUUUAGCAAAAUGCAUAAUAUGUUGAAAUGAUUCACUGCAUUGCAUUAUGCUGUUGGUAUUAAAUGAUUAAACUCACUUUCUGUGCCUUUCUCAUCAGAAUUCGGGUAGUAAGACGCCCUCGACUGCGUGAAACAAUCCGUGCACGGAGCAGCAUCCCCGAGAGAUUCAAGAGGAAAAGUGUCGCUGCAAGAAG
rnacentral:lncRNA from 1 species